UAAAACAUCAUUUGCAGCUGAACUCUCGUGUCCUGGCAAUAAUAUGACUUAUAAAUCAAGCAAUUAAGAAAGUGAAAGUUUUCAUGCGGGUCAACCAUGGUCUUGGUGAUUCCAUCUGCCAUAAAACAUAAGCAUGACCAAAACAAAAUGGUGUAUUAGUAUUUUGUGAUAUCUCUAAAAGCCAUAUAUCAGGUAUAAGU
rnacentral:lncRNA from 1 species